rnacentral:rRNA from 1 species
AAAGGAAUAGACGGGGCCCCGCACAAGCAGUGGAGUAUGUGGUUUAAUUCGACGCAACGCGAAGAACCUUACCAGGUCUUGACAUCCAACUAAUGAAGCAGAGAUGCAUUAAGUGCCCUUCGGGGAAAGUUGAGACAGGUGGUGCAUGGUUGUCGUCAGCUCGUGUCGUGAGAUGUUGGGUUAAGUCCCGCAACGAGCGCAACCCUUACCAUUAGUUGCUACGCAAGAGCACUCUAAUGGGACUGCCGUUGACAAAACGGAGGAAGGUGGGGAUGACGUCAAAUCAUCAUGCCCCUUAUGACCUGGGCGACACACGUACUACAAUGGCUAUUAACAAAGGGAAGCCACUACGCGAGUAGGAGCAAAACCCAAAAAAUAGUCUCAGUUCGGAUUGCAGGCUGAAACCCGCCUGCAUGAAGUUGGAAUUGCUAGUAAUCGCAGAUCAGCAUGCUGCGGUGAAUACGUUCCCGGGGCUUGUACACACCGCCCGU